rnacentral:rRNA from 1 species
AUUACCGCGGCUGCUGGCACUCUUCGUAUUACCGCGGCUGCUGCCCCUACGGGAGGCAGCAGUGAGGAAUCUUCCACAGUGGGGGCAACCCUGAUGGAGCAACGCCGCGUGAAGGAUGAAGGCCCUCGGGUCGUAAACUUCUUUUAUGAGUGAAGAAUAUGACGGUAACUUAUGAAUAAGCACCGGCUAACUACGUGCCAGCAGCCGCGGUAAUA